AUAGGUUGGCUCAUAUAGACUUGUGAUUUUCUUAUCAUUUAUUUUUGUACCGGGUAUUUUUUUUUUUUUAGUUACCAGUGAGGACUUUCAUGUAAUAAAGCUGCUAUUGUUUAGCUUUGAUACUGUCAGUUGCUUUUUAUACAUUAUACACAAAAGGAUGCAGUGGCAAAGUGCCAUUCAGCAGCAUGUUGAUUCUGUGUAAUUUCCAUUAUAUGAUGUGUCAGUAGUGUAAUAUACUGUGAAGCAUAUUGGUGAUGCAGGUAGAUUUUUUUUUUCCCAGAGAUGAGAAAUAGUGCUUGCAUGAAUGGAGGAUCAUAUGGGGCUCUGAAGCAAGCUUUGUUUCUGAUGUAUGAACUAAGAUAACCUGGUGUACUGACACCAGGAGUUUGCGACUUACAUAAAGAUAGUAUAGCAAGUUCUUCUUAGAAUUCAUACAUCAGUAAACAAUGCCAAAAAAGUUCCAUUGCUGUGAAUGGGCUUAAUUUUGGUAAGCCUGAGCCGUUGUUUGGUGUGUACGUUGCCACAUGAUGCCAUCACGUUGUGUUGUUCAGGUGUAGCGGUCAAGCAGCGGCGCCAUUUGGGCCAGGCUCGGGAGCACCCCUAUCAAAGGACGGGUACGCUCUCGUAGGCCACAACCCAGAUCCUGGUCCCUCAGCUGACCUGGCGCGUUGCUAACCCGCCCCGGGCUCCUUCUCUUGUGUCCCUCGUGUCACUACUGACCAGCACUGAGGCACCACCACCACCACCACCACCACUCCACCACCACCACUCACCCUAGGACACACCACUAACCGCGCUGCACUCUGGGUGCCGCCGCAUCGCCCACCCAGCUCCACUAUCGUCGGUAUGUGCCCACUGUGCCGCUUAAUGUCGCCCAAGAACAAGGGCAUGUUGGACCUCUUGGUCUUGCGGCUGCCACACUGUCGAUAUGUGAAUAAGGGCAGGGCUUGCUACCUUCUGGGCGGGCACAGGGAAACCUGUGCACAUUUGUGGAGGCCAUGGUGCCCACUUGUUCCUACUGCCUGCCCAUAGGGCAUGACAACCUCCAGUUUGUCAACUAAACUUUAAAGUACUAACUCGUGUAGAAUUACUAAAUAGCACAACAAAAACCUCCUUUACAAAGUUCAAAGCAUUCCUAGGGUGGAAAAUGCUCAGAAACAGGCAGCUCCUACUUAGAAUCUCCAGUAAUAGAGGUGAUGAAUCAGUGAGAAAUUAAUUAUAUUUGUAUACAGCGUAAUGAAGUUUGUUACUCGAGACUGGUACUAUAUACAGUGUGCAUUUAGAGAUGGUGCUAAAUGUUAAGCUUGGUCACACAGCUUUAUCGUUAGGGUCUUUGUGUUGUUGGUGUUAUAUCUUUAUUAAAUAGAAUAGUAGAUAGUUGUUUAAAGAAUCUCGAUAGCUUCUAUUACAAAGUGUCAUAUGACAGGUUUGAGCCUUUUACAAACCUCAUUUUAUGCGACUUACUGGAUUGGUAUCCUCAAGUCCAGUCAUUGAAUGAUAAAAGGGACACUGUUGUCAAGAUAAAACCAAAGUGAAGGUGCAGCUUUUUUUUUUUAAUUAAACAGUGGUGAUAUUAAAUUUUUUAACAUGCUAAUAUCUUUGUGAAGGUAUUAUGAGAAAAAGAAUUUUACAAAGGCAUAAAAUUGUAAACCAAGCACAAGAUGAUAGGAAUUAAAUAUUUAGCCCAUUAAAAUGAUAUGACUUGGGAUCAUCUUGAAACCAGUUUUUAAUGUAUAUACAUGGAGCAUUACGCUUAUUAUAUACAGUACAACAAGGUCCAUAAGUCCUGCAGGGGACACACACACACACACACACACACUAAUUUAUAGAUUGGUAUGCCAUAUUAUCUCUUAAAAUGUAGAUCUCAAAUUUUAGGUAUGAAGAUGCAUUGUCUUGGGUUCAAACAUUUUGGAUGUAACAAGUAUCCAAAAACUUUGGCCCAGCUAGUGUAUCUGCUAAAUUGCACAUCAGUCUUUGAAUGUUAAUUACCAUGAAGUAUAUAAUUUCACAAAUUACUAUUGACAAUGCAUGUAAGUUUCAAAAGGUCAUGUUCACUUUUGGGACUUUGUACAGUUUAUCAUUAGAGAUAACCCACCCUCUCAAAAAUGAGGUACUAAAGGUUAUAUUAAGCAUUUUAAGAAAUUUUAUUUUUGAAACUAAAGAAAUUAGUCUGAGUUGAAGGAAACUCAGUUUGAAAUAUUUCAGUUUUUGAAAAAAAAAAAAAAAUUAAACUUUACCAAUAGGGAUGACUGUAAUGGCAAAAUUGUUCCUUGAAUAUUUAAUGGCAAA